GACGAACGCUGGCGGCGUGCCUAAUACAUGCAAGUCGAACGCUGAAGAGAGGAGCUUACUCUUCUUGGAUGAGUUGCGAACGGGUGAGUAACGCGUAGGUAACCUGCCUUGUAGCGGGGGAUAACUAUUGGAAACGAUAGCUAAUACCGCAUAACAAUGGAUGACACAUGUCAUUUAUUUGAAAGGGGCAAUUGCUCCACUACAAGAUGGACCUGCGUUGUAUUAGCUAGUAGGUGAGGUAAUGGCUCACCUAGGCGACGAUACAUAGCCGACCUGAGAGGGUGAUCGGCCACACUGGGACUGAGACACGGCCCAGACUCCUACGGGAGGCAGCAGUAGGGAAUCUUCGGCAAUGGGGGCAACCCUGACCGAGCAACGCCGCGUGAGUGAAGAAGGUUGUCGGAUCGUAAAGCUCUGUUGUAAGUCAAGAACGGGUGUGAGAGUGGAAAGUUCACACUGUGACGGUAGCUUACCAGAAAGGGACGGCUAACUACGUG
rnacentral:rRNA from 1 species